rnacentral:lncRNA from 1 species
CAAUCACGGAUUACAAAAAGAAAACCAGCCCCGUCGCGGACACUGACGUCUUGCUCCCAGACAAACUAAACAACUUCUUUGCUCGCUUUGAGGACAAUACAGUGCCACUGACACAGCCCGCUACCAAAACCUGUGGGUUCUCCUCACCGCUGCCAAUGUGAGUAAAAUAUUUAAACAUGUUAACCCUCGCAAGGCUGCCGACCCAGACAGCAUCACUAGCCGCGUCCUCAGAGCAUGCGCAGACCAGCUGGCGGGUGUGUUUACGGACAUAUUCAAUCAAUCCCUAUCCCAGUCUGUUCUCCCCACAUGCUUCAAGAGGGCCAUUGUUCCUGUUCCAAGAAAGCUAAGGUAACUGAACUAAACGAAAAUCGCCCCGUAGCACUCACUUCCGCCAUCAUGAAGUUCUUUGAGAGACUAGCCAAGGAUCAUAUCACCUUCACCCUACCUGACACCCUAGACCCACUCCAAUUUGCUUACCGCCCCAAUAAGUCCACAGAUGACGCAAUCACAAUCACACUGCACACUGCCCUAACCCAUCUGGACAAGAGGAAUACCUAUGUAAGAAUGCUGUUCAUCGAUUACAGCUCAGCAUUUAACACCAUAGUAACCUCCAAACUCGUCAUUAAGCUCGAGACCCUGGGUCUCGACCCUGCCCUGUGCAACUGGGUCCUGGACUUUCUGACGGGCCACCCCCAGGUGUUGAGGGUAGGAAACAACAUCUCCACCCCGCUGAUCCUCAACACUGGGGCCCCACAAGGGUACGUUCUCAGCCCUCUCCUGUACUCCCGGUUCACCCAUGACUGCGUGAUCAUGCACGCCUCCAACUCAAUCAUCAAGUUUGCAGACGACACUACAGUGGUAGGCUUGAUUACCAACAACGACGAGACAACCUACAGGGAGCAGGUGAGGGCUCUCGGAGUGUGGUGUCAGGAAAAUAACCUCACACUCAACAUCAACAAAACAAAGGAAACAGCAGAGGGAGCACCCCCCUAUCCACAUCGACGGGACAGUAGUGGAGA